GGAGGAGCAAGGCCAGAAGCUGAUCUGGAGCUAAACAGAAGCAUACUGUGGGUCAGGAAAACACCAGGGGUUUACUAAAGGGCUCUCCAAUGGCGAUGCCCUAAAAUUAGUCUCCAGGGGCUUAGCCAUUCCAGUUAUCUUCAAACAAGGGCUUCACCUUAACCAGCUUUGAAAAUGCUCCUGUUCACACACAGGUUGCACUCUCAGAGUCAGAUAUUUCCAAUACUUUCCUAAGAAAGACUAUGCUGAAGUUAUUUCUCCUUGGGACAGAUUCACAGCUGGAGUGAAUACAGGCACCUUCAACUAUAAUCUCAGUUUACAAGAGCUGGGGUUUCAGCCAGCUGAUUUUCACAGCUCCUAACUGCAUCAAGCAAGGCUGUACAAUUCCUCUCUUCUCCUUCCUCCCUUGAAGAAGAGGCAUUGUAUACACCUUUCCAUCCCUUUUCCUCUCGGAAAAUCAGUUCCAGAGGGUCACAGGGGAGUUCACACAUCGCAGAAGGGAACUUGUUGUGCAAUGGCCACUACCAUUAAUACCUUUGAUAUGGAAAUAAAAGGAAGCAAUUGCUUCAACAAUUCUCUAUAUUCCUUCAGUCUGUACAGACUAGUGCUUGCCUACCUCACAGAAACUGUGUGAAGCAAGAAUGAUAAGAACUGAGAAAUGCUGACGUACUAAACUGGGAGAAGAUUUAUAACUGGCUUAGAUAAACUAAAGGAAGAAAGUAUUAACUCAUACUGAAGAAAAUCAGAGUGGUUUUUAACCUAGAAAUGUCAUGUCCUCAGCAGC